UCAGGCCACUGCACAUCAUAAGCUUUCUGAAUAACCCUAUGACUUAAAGGAAGCUGUUCUCCCUUUACUUGCACUGAUGGGCUGGGCUCUUAGGAAUUACUUAUUACGCAGACUUUGGUGUGGUGGCUCUUAGGAAGCUUGUCAUUUAUCUGAAAAGUGAGGGUGAUGUUCCUGGUACUGAAACCAUCUAACAACCAGGCUGAAAAGAAAAGGAAAAAAAAAGCCUCUAGAAAUCUAAGAGGAAAUCAUAUCUAAAGAAAUAAGAGAAAGAAACUGAGCAAGCUAAAAAGCAGCCAUGGCGUCAGAUGCUAGUCACAUGCUAGAGGCUGCCCUUGAGCAGAUGGAUGGGAUUAUUGCAGGCACCAAAUCAGCUGCUGAACACAGCAAUGGUGUCUAUGAUGUUGGGCUGCCCUCCCAAUCCCCAUACAUGAACAUGUUCCCAGUACUUCAUCUCAUGGAGGACCUGAGGCUGUCGCUGGAGAUGCUGGAGGAUCCUCAGGAAAGAGAAGUCCUUCGGGGGCAGAUCCCAGAGCCCACUGCAGCUUACAUAAAAGAGUGGCUUCAGGGAAAUCUGUCCCAGGUAAGCCACCCAGCUGCAGUUACAAAUGAAACCUACCAGGAGCGUUUGGCCCGUUUAGAAGGAGACAAGGAAUCUCUCAUGUUACAGGUGAGUGUCCUGACUGACCAGGUGGAGGUCCAGGGAGAGAAGAUCCGGGACUUAGAAGUCUGCCUGGAAGGGCACCAGGCGAAACUGAAUGCUGCUGAAGAGAUGCUUCAACAGGAAUUGUUGAGCCGCACGUCACUUGAGGCACAGAAACUGGAGCUGACGGCGGAGGUUUCGGAGCUGAAGCUUCGGCUGGUCGGCAUGGAAAGGGAACAGAAAGAACAGGAGGAGAAGCAGAGGAAAGCCGAGUUAGUAGUGAAUCUGAUCAGUGAUCUACAGGAGCAGAUGUGUAGACUACAGCUGGAAAUCAGUAGCCAAAUUCAAGAGAGAAUGUUGCAGGACAGGGACCACAUGGAUGAAUAUAGUCCUCAGGAGAGCCCCCAGGCCAGCAACCCCGAUGGCUUGCCUGAAUUGCUGCAGGAACUCAAGCAUCUCAAAAUUAAAGUGGAAGAGUUGGAGAGUGAGCGAAAUCAGUAUGAAUGGAAGUUAAAAGCAACAAAGGCUGAAAUCGCCCAACUGCAAGAGCAGUUGGCAUUGAAGGAUGCAGAAAUCGAGCGCCUCCACAGCCAGCUCUCCAGGACCGUGGCCUGCGCCGAAAGCACAGAGAGAGAGGGAGUUUGUAAGAGAAGGCUAAAGGAAAAAUAUCAAGAAGUUCAACGUCUAAAAAUAGGAAUGGAAACCUUACUUGUUGCAAAUGAAGAAAAGGACCGUAGGAUAGAGGAGCUCACACUAUUACUGAGCCAGUACCGAAGAGUAAAGGAGAUCAUGUUGGGUGGUCACGGCUCUUCAGAAAGAAUCCUUUCUAGUGGAGAUGAAGAAAUGGAGGGAUCUUUCAGGAAAUGGAACAUGGUGAACAAAUCCUUAGGAGAUGCUAUGAAACUGGAGAUGUCUCCCAGAUGUACUUCCCCUACUUUAGGGGCUCCUCCCCUGCCUCAGAAAAUCCUGGAAACAAGUGGAAGCAUCCUGGAUGCCAGCAAUGGCCAGAUUUCCCACUGUGAGGAGGAUUCCCUGGAAACACAGAGCAGGACUCAGGAAAAACUGUCCAGUAGUCUGGAAGACCUGCAACAUAACUCUGUGGAAAAGUAUGUAGACGGGAAACCACUCGUGCCUGUUGUAGGAUCUGAGGACACUCUUUUCCUAGGGGAAAACAAAUACCCAACAUUACCAGGGAAGCUUUCUGGAACUACACACAAUGGAGAGCCUGGAACAUCAAUCCCAUCUGCUUCUCACACCUCAGGUAGCAGCCUACCAAGCCUGACUCGUGGCCGGAGUGUCAGUGCACCGAUAUUAGGAGAGACUGAGAGCAGUUUGGAUAAUACUGUCACAUCAAAUGACCUUUCACCUACUUCUUCUGGAACCGAUUCUGGACCCCAGUCCCCACUGACUCCAGAACUGAAGCGGAGUCCUAAAGGCAUCAAGAAAUUCUGGGGAAAAAUAAGAAGGACUCAGUCAGGAAAUUUCAACACAGAUGCAAUAGGAAUAGCAGAAUUCCGCCGAGGUGGGCUCCGGGCAACUGCAGGACCGAGGCUAUCCAGAACCAGAGACCCCAAAGCUCAGAAAAGUGAUUCCAACGCUCCUUUUGCCCAGUGGAACACGGAGCAAGUGUGUACGUGGCUGGAGGACUUUGGUCUCGGUCAGUAUGUGAUCUUUGCCAGGCAGUGGGUGAGUUCCGGUCAUACGCUCCUGACUGCUACCCCUCAAGACAUGGAAAAGGAGAUGGGAAUUAAGCAUCCCCUGCACAGAAAAAAAUUAGUUUUAGCCGUGAAAUCAAUUAACACAAAGCAGGAAGAGAAGUCUGCACAACUAGACCACAUUUGGGUAACCCGGUGGCUUGAUGAUAUUGGCUUGCCUCAAUACAAAGACCAGUUUCACGAAUCCAGGGUUGAUGGACGGAUGCUUCAGUACCUAACUGUGAAUGACCUUCUCUUCUUAAAAGUCACCAGUCAGCUGCAUCAUCUCAGCAUCAAAUGUGCCAUCCACGUGCUACAUGUCAACAAAUUCAAUCCUCACUGCCUGCACAGGAGACCCGCGGAUGAGAGUAACGUGUCUCCUUCUGAAGUGGUACAAUGGUCCAACCACCGAGUGAUGGAAUGGCUGAGGUCAGUGGACCUGGCUGAAUAUGCUCCAAAUCUCCGAGGAAGCGGAGUUCACGGUGGUCUCAUUAUCCUGGAACCCCGUUUCAGCGGGGACACACUAGCCAUGCUUCUGAACAUUCCUCCUCAGAAGACACUCCUCCGACGCCAUUUAACCACCAAUUUCAAUGUCCUCGUUGGCCCCGUGGCCCAGCAAGAAAAGAGAGACAUAAUGACAUCCACAGCCUACACGCCUCUGACCACUACUGCCAAAGUCCGGCCAAAGAAACUAGGAUUUUCACACUUUGGAAAUAUGAGAAAAAAGAAGUUUGAUGAAUCUACAGACUACAUAUGUCCCACAGAGCCAAGUGAAAGUGUGAAUGGCAAUCACAAGGCUUAUGGUGGCCACAGCCACCGAGGCCUCGGCCCCAGUCCCGGGGAGGAACUGGAUAAACUGGAUCAGAUGGAGCCCUCGGAAGGUACAGUCCUGCAGAUAGGGGUCAUCUCCCAAGGCAUUCACAACCUCACGACUGUGCUGAACCAAGAUGGGUACUAAAAUGAAACUCACUCAUCUUCUAAUAUCCAUGGCUAGAAGAUCAGAAAUGUUUAGUCACCCAAAUCAGGAGUGCUAACUACAGCCAAACGUCUCCGAAUACUGCCAAAGAAAAGGCUAAGGGGAGCUGGAAAAGAGUGCAGCCUGAAAGUUUUUUCAUCUUGGUCAAUAUGUUUCUCUCUGCCCAAGUCAGUGAUAAUCUGAUGAUUCAAUGAUGAGGAGAAAGGUUGUACAAAUGAUAAGUGCAGGCAAGUAGGUCUCAGCUCAUGUAUGGAAAGGCAGGGACAAGACAAAUUCAACAUGAUAUAUUUUGGUGAAGCUGACAGACAUAAACAGGACAUUCUCUAUCUGUGGACACAAGCUGUUGGUGCUUUGCUGGGAUGACUGGGCUGGAGGAAGAAGCCUAGAUGCUACUGAAUGAAUAAGAAACCCAGAGCCAUCUCCAAUCAUUCCGAUCUGUAUCUGGCCACUUGACCCCGUUGGCUCUGGAGAAGAAAAGUGAGGCUGGUGACCUUGAACAUCCUCCCUCCUUGAAAUCCAUUGUAUGAUCCAUUAUAUCAUCUCCCUGAUGUUAUAGUCUUCUUCGAGAAUAAAGGACAAAUAACUAGUUCAGCAGAGUGAAA